CAAUGGGGAAUUUUCCGCAAUGGGGAAUCUUCCGCAAUUUGGGCAAUGGGGAAUUUUCCGCAAUGGGCGAAAGCCUGACGGAGCAAUACCGCGUGAGGGAGGAAGGCUCUUGGGUCGUAAACCUCUUUUCUCAGGGAAGAACACAAUGACGGUACCUGAGGAAUAAGCAUCGGCUAACUCCGUGCCAGCAGCCGCGGUAAUACGGAGGAUGCAAGCGUUAUCCGGAAUGAUUGGGCGUAAAGGGUCCGCAGGUGGUACUGUAAGUCUGCUGUUAAAGAGCAAGGCUCAACCUUGUAAAAGCAGUGGAAACUACAGAACUAGAGUGCGUUCGGGGCAGAAGGAAUUCCUGGUGUAGCGGUGAAAUGGGUAGAUAUCAGGAAGAACACCAGUGGCGAAAGCGUUCUGCUAGGCCGCAACUGAC
rnacentral:rRNA from 1 species